rnacentral:rRNA from 1 species
UACAGAGGGGGCAAGCGUUGUUCGGAAUUACUGGGCGUAAAGGGCGCGUAGGCGGCCUGCUAAGUCGAACGUGAAAUCCCUGGGCUCAACCCAGGAACUGCGUCCGAUACUGGUUGGCUUGAAUCCGGGAGAGGGACGUGGAAUUCCAGGUGUAGCGGUGAAAUGCGUAGAUAUCUGGAGGAACACCGGUGGCGAAGGCGACGUCCUGGACCGGUAUUGACGCUGAGGAGCGAAAGCCAGGGGAGCAAACGGG